rnacentral:rRNA from 1 species
UACGUAGGAUGCAAGCGUUGUCCGGAUUUACUGGGCGUAAAGGGCUCGUAGGCGGUUUGUCGCGUCGGGAGUGAAAACACGGGGCUUAACCCCGUGCCUGCUUCCGAUACGGGCAGACUAGAGGUAUGCAGGGGAGAACGGAAUUCCUGGUGUAGCGGUGAAAUGCGUAGAUAUCUGGAGGAAUACCGGUGGCGAAGGCGGCAUCCUGGACCGGCAUUGACGCUGAUGAGCGAAAGCUAGGGGAGCAAACGGG